rnacentral:rRNA from 1 species
GAUGAACGCUGGCGGCGUGCCUAAUACAUGCAAGUCGAGCGAACGGACGAGAAGCUUGCUUCUCUGAUGUUAGCGGCGGACGGGUGGGUAACACGUGGAUAACCUACCUAUAAGACUGGGAUAACUUCGGGAAACCGGAGCUAAUACCGGAUAAUAUUUUGAACCGCAUGGUUCAAAAGUGAAAGACGGUCUUGCUGUCACUUAUAGCUGGAUCCGCGCUGCAUUAGCUAGUUGGUAAGGUAACGGCUUACCAAGGCAACGAUGCAUAGCCGACCUGAGAGGAUGAUCGGCCACACUGGAACUGAGACACGGUCCAGACUCCUACGGGAGGCAGCAGUAGGGAAUCUUGCGCAAUGGGCGAAAGCCUGACGGAGCAACGCCGCGUGAGUGAUGAAGGUCUUCGGAUCGUAAAGCUCUGUUAUUAGGGAAGAACAGAUGUGUAAGUAACUGUGCACAUCUUGACGGUACCUAAUCAGAAAGCCACGGCUAACUACGUG